CCUACGGGAGGCAGCAGUGGGGAAUAUUGCACAAUGGGGGAAACCCUGAUGCAGCGACGCCGCGUGAGCGAAGAAGUAUUUCUGUAUGUAAAGCUCUAUCAGCAGGGAAGAAAAUGACGGUACCUGAGUACGAAGCUCCGGUUAAAUACGUGCCAGCAGCCGCGGUCAUACGUAUGGAGCAAGCGUUAUCCGGAUUUACUGGGCGUAAAGGGAGCGUAGGCGGCAUGCCAAGUCUGGUGUGAAAUACCGGGGCCCAACCCCGGGGCUGCAUUGGAAACUGGCAGGCUGGAGUGCCGGAGAGGCAGGCGGAAUGCCUAGUGUAGCGGUGAAAUGCGUAGAUAUUAGGAGGAACACCAGUGGCGAAGGCGGCCUGCUGGACGGUGACUGACGCUGAGGCUCGAAAGCGUGGGGAGCAAACAGGAUUAGAUACCCCUGUAGUC
rnacentral:rRNA from 1 species